GACCUGGCUGGGCGGUCCGCUUAACGGCGUGUACUGUCUGGCUGGGUCUUACCUCCUGGUGAGCCGGUGUGCCCUUUAUUGGUGUGCGCCGGGGAACCAGGACCUUUACCUUGAGAAAAUUAGAGUGUUCAAAGCAGGCCUAUGCCUGAAUACAUUAGCAUGGAAUAAUAAAAUAGGACGGCAUGGUUCUAUUUUGUUGGUUUCUAGGAUCACCGUA
rnacentral:rRNA from 1 species